UGGAACAAGGAACAGGUGAAACACUAAUCAGGAAACAUGGCAACUAAUGAAAGAACGAGAACUCAGGCAAAUACAGACAAAGAAAACUGAAAACUGAAAACUAAACAAGACAGAGAAACUGAACAUAACUAUAAACCAGUGGUCUCAAACUGCCGGCCCGCGGGCCAAUUACGUUAUGGUGAUACUGGCAUGAGAGUGAUUAGGCUUAUCUGUUUUCAGGUUGAAGGGAGAAGUGGCUGAAGGACUGAAGACAGGCAGAUGAUGAUACACUGAAGACUGGAGAAGAUGAGACAGUUCGAUGCACAGGUGAUGCAGUGAGCACAGUGAAGCCUUCAGUGUUUUCGUCCAAAUGCCAGCUCAGUAUUGGCUGAGGCUGUGUUCACUUGAUCUGCAUGAUGCAUGCGUGUGAUGCUGACGCAGGAGCCGGCCAAUGACGUAGAACCUGGAAGCGCUGGACGUAAACAUGUAUGGCAGAGCAGACAAAUGCUGAAUGAUGGAUGAUAAGCCUAGAGUGCCGUGUUAUUUGUGUGUGUGUCCAAUCAUCAUUUACAUAUGCAUUUAUCAAAAAGCAGCAGUGAUAACAUAUUAAAGUGACACUUUUGCUUGUUUUAUACAAAGUUCAAUAAAGUUCUAGAUGUUUUAGUCUGGGUGUUUUCAUGAGUAACCUACUCCCAAGGUAAUGGAUCUAAGCUACCAUCUCUACAACAGCACUAAUUGCAUCAG